CUCCAUCGCCCUGUAUUUAUUUUAAGUUUGUGUCAAAUUUUGAAAGAAACCCAGCACUAUAGAUUAUGAUCAUUUCUUGUGGGAAAAGUGGCCCCUGACCUACUGUUUACAGUGCUUACAUGCUGGAGUCACAAAAAAAACAUAUCCUGUACAUAAAGACUGGUCAUCCUUGAAUUGUACAGACCCUAAAACUCUUAAUAAGUAGUGUACACAGUUAAUAUAGCAAAUUUUAUAGAUAUACAUUUACCUGAAAAUGUCAUAGUUUUGAUUUGUUUAUGUUUUACAUAAACGUGUGAUUUCAAUGUAUGUAACAGAUGAAAUAUUUUGGAUAGAAGAUUAAUGAUGUACUAGUAUAAGAAAUAGAAAUGUUAUAUACUGGACUCUCUUUUCAUAUCAAUGCAUUAAUUACCACAAGAAAACAUAAUUACCAAAUGGUCAUAAUUAAUUUUUUCAAAAAAUGAAAAAAAAAAUUAUAUCUUGGAAGACAUUCUAUUGUCCAUUAAACAAAGAAAAAAUCUGAGGGGUUGUAUUCAAAAAAACAAACAGGUCUCAUGACUUAAUCUAUUGGUGCAAACAUUGAAUAUUAUUAUAAAAGUCAUGCUCUUUCAGCAACUCAUAUUAUUUUGUUUAGUAUUUGUGAAUUAUUUUCAGUGAUCAAGUUAACAUGUAUGUGCAAAAAGCCAUACAUUAUAUGUUUUUUCUGUAGUUGAAUCUCUGUAAUGGGAAAAUCCCUUUAUACUCCAGACCUCAAGACCAUAGACUGAGAACAGACUGAUUUCAAAAUUUUUAAUAUCUCCAGUUGUAUUUACCUAAUGUGUUAUUAAAAUUUGCAGGUUUAAUAAGAAAACAUAAAAUUCUUAAAUAUGUUGAGAAUUUAGUUUCAUUUACAAAGUGAUUUUAAAAUUUUCAGUGAUUUGAAGUCGGUUUUCAGUUUAUGGUAAAGCGGCCAGGUACUACAUGUAGUUUCAGAGAAACAAUCCUACCUCAUCAGGAGUCUAUCAAUACAGUGUUAUUUUAAACUUUUAUGGAUGAAAUUGUAGUUUGGGGUAUAAAUUGCAUUAAUUUGUAGAGCAUUUAAAAGAGUAAGGAAACCAAUAAGAAUUGUAUAUUUUUUGGUUCAAUGUUUAUUAAAGAUGACACAUUUAAUUAGAUUUAAAUUCUUGAUUUUCAAAUUUUGUAAUAUUUUAUUUGUUUUAUUUUGUAACCUUUAAUUUUUGAUACAUGACAAUUUUUUGACAGAAGUUUUGGACAUUACAUACAUACAAGUAGUAUAUUUUAGCUAGAAAUAGUGGAUUAUCAAAAGUUAAAUGUGUUCAGUUUAGUGUUCAGAAUCUCUUAACAAAAACAAAACAUGCACAGACUUAAGAUGUGCUCUGAAGAUAGGAGAAAUUAUCCUUCAUUAAAUAUGUUCAUGUUUUACUGUAGAUGAUAUUAAAACUGUAAUUCAGGACGAGCGAUGACCCCUCCCCUCGUGUUGUACAGUAGAUUAUGUGAUACUAACUACUGAGUAGAAACGAACUGUCUUAAGGUGCUUCCCAAGUUUUAAGUUAUGCAACUUUGUUUUGUAGUCUAGAAUUGUUAUGUUUGCUUCAUUAAUAAAUAAUUAAAAUCCCUACCUUAAA